rnacentral:rRNA from 1 species
UACGUAGGGGGCAAGCGUUGUCCGGAAUCAUUGGGCGUAAAGCGAGCGUAGGCGGCCCGAUAAGUCUGCUGUGAAAGUCAACGGCUCAACCGUUGAAAGCCGGUGGAUACUGUCGGGCUAGAGUUCGGAAGAGGCAAGUGGAAUUCCUGGUGUAGCGGUGGAAUGCGCAGAUAUCAGGAGGAACACCCAUAGCGAAGGCAGCUUGCUGGGACGAUACUGACGCUAAGGCUCGAAAGCGUGGGGAGCGAACAGGAUUAGAUACCCCCGUAGUCC